CUUGAAUAAGUUGUCAAAGUUGUUUACAAAAUUGUUAAAAAGUGAAACAAAAAAAACACAUCAGCUAUCAAACAGACAUAGGACUGGAGCACAUCGACACCUGCAUUCUCCUAAUUGAGAGUAAUAAUAAUAACAAUACAAUGGAUAGCCCUUCAAUAAAUAAAAUAUUAGGAGAGGGUUUUUUUUUAUUCACAAUAUGGAUGGCGAACAAAAAAGCUCUCAGAUCGUAUUCACACUUUUUCUGCGCUUUAAUGAAUGCCAGCAGCUAGGGAAAGCGCUAGGCCAUGCGAGGUGUGAAAAAUGUACAUGACUCGAAGAACAAAACAGCAAAGCCAAACGGACCCCUAGCAUCCCCAACACUCCCAGAAGAUUUUGAUUAUAUCAAUUGGCAUUUAUAUUUCAAUUUUAAAGUUAUAAGUAUGAAAAAGUAGGUUUUUUAAUUUUUAACAUUUGUUUCGAAUAGCUCCUAAUCAUCUCUACCAAUGAUAAAAAUCUUAAC